GACGAACCGUCCAAACGUUAUUCGGAAUUACUGGGCUUAAAGGGUGCGUAGGCGGCGCGGAAAGUUGGGUGUGAAAUCCCUCGGCUCAACCGAGGAACUGCGCCCAAUACUACCGUGCUUGAGGGAGAUAGAGGUGAGCGGAACUUAGGGUGGAGCGGUGAAAUGCGUUGAUAUCCUAAGGAACACCGGUGGCGAAAGCGGCUCACUGGAUCUCUUCUGACGCUGAGGCACGAAAGCUA
rnacentral:rRNA from 1 species